AUAAGAAGAAAGUAAGAAAGGGCGUAUGGCGGAUGCCUAGGCUCACAGAGGCGAUGAAGGACGUGAUAAGCUGCGAUAAGCUGCGGGUAGGUGCAAAUAACCUUUGAUCCGCAGAUUUCCGAAUGGGACAACCCGGCCGUCUGAAGGACGGUCACUCACGCUAAGCGUGAGAGCUAACGCAGGGAACUGAAACAUCUUAGUACCUGUAGGAAGAGAAAAUAAAUAAUGAUUCCCUUAGUAGUGGCGAGCGAACGGGGAACAGCCCAAACCGUGACUGUGGCAACGCAGCCGCGGGGUAGUAGG
rnacentral:rRNA from 1 species